UUUAUGAACUAAUUGAUUCUUCUUGUUACAUCAAUUUGUGUACCCCUACUGUUGAAGCCAUUGCGUUGGAUGAUAGUACAUCAUCUUAUCAAAAUUGUGUAUAUCAACUUAUAUGAGAAACUAGUCCACCACUUGAGAAUAUGUGUAAUGUUAUUAGAGAACCUCAAGUUAGUGAUGAAAUUAAGAAUAUUGGUCAAGAAAAUAUAAGUGACCCUUUGAGC
rnacentral:lncRNA from 1 species